UACGAAGGGGGGCUAGCGUUGCUCGGAAUCACUGGGCGUAAAGGGCGCGUAGGCGGAUCUUUAAGUCGGGGGUGAAAGCCCAGGGCUCAACCCUGGAAUUGCCUUCGAUACUGGAGAUCUUGAGACCGGAAGAGGUAAGUGGAACUGCGAGUGUAGAGGUGAAAUUCGUAGAUAAUUCGCAAGAACACAGUGGCGAAGGCGGCUUACUGGUCCGGUU
rnacentral:rRNA from 1 species